CUUCAGCCUGUGUUUCCCAACCCAAAUCCAAGGCCAUUUUACUUCAAGUGGAAUACACACACAGAGCAAACAUUCUCAAGUCUGUACAGAGUGGCCAAACCUGAUCCAAUUGGCUGAAGACCCACCUAAGAGGCCUGCAUGAGCGAUCCGGCCCCAAGAAGCAAGAAGGAAGCCUACCCAGUGCAUUAGAAGAAGCUGAGCCAGGGCAAGACUUCUACAUCAGGCAUGAGUUGAAGUGGAGAUGAACUGCACCCCAGCUACCUCAAGCAUCUACUGCAGAAGACCUCAAUAAUGCAUAAGAACAUCUGGAAGUACGGUAAUUUCAGCUAUCAGAGAUAAGAAUUGACACAGAAC